CCGGUUCCUCCUCCUCUCGUCGAUGCGAAACCCUAGACGAUACCGAUGGCACGUGCGUUUUUGUCGAAGAGGUGUCGAUCCCUCUGGACCGCCGCCCCCGGACCUCGUCUUCUCCUUUCCCCUGGCGGAACGCCUCCCCGUCCGUGGACGGCGUCUUGAUCCUGUAGGCGUCGCCCAAGGUGAGGAAGUUCCACAUCGACGCCGAUUUUCUCGACCGUUGCGCGCCUGAGCUCAGUCCGUGGCUUCGCUUUGCUGUCGACCCCCGUGUCGAGGACCUCUCAGUCGAUGCGACUAAGAGGUCGUGCGAGAUGGCCGGCCAUGUCGCAGUACCGCGGCUCCUUUUAUGGAUGCUCUUCAUUGGUGAACCUGCACUCAGGGCUCUGUUGCUUCUCGUUGAGUAGAAGUAUCGCAUGGAUUAAUCUAGGUCCCUGUCCGUCUGUGACUCGGAGGUGAUGCAUGAGAUGUCGAAUGGCAGCCCUGUUCUCGAAUUCCUUAGUUUGGAAGGAUGCUACGGUUGAAAACGAACCAUCAAGCUUUGUUCGAGAACUUUGAGGGAAAUUGCGGUCAAUGGCUGCUUUCGGUAUGCACUUGAUGAGGGUUUCCCCUUGGAGAUUUCAAGUCCUCUGCUGCUGUUUUAGAGGAUUUUCUGGUAUGAUGAGGCAGCUGGUAACGGAAGUCUCGAUCCUUGAUUGAAGCGCAGUUGAACUUUUCUUUACGAGAGGCGAGGAUUUUGGAAGGCCAUCUGAUUGUUUUGUUCAAAAUCGGUUCGAGUCUUACAGAGGGUAUUGCAACCUGGUUGAGGGACUGCUUCGGAAGCUGCAGAACGUGACUAAGCUUUUGAUUGGUAGUUGGUGCCUUCAGGAUAUAUGUCAAGCUAUGCUGCAUACAUGUAUACAUGAAGGGAGGAGUUGGAGAAAGCAAAAAUACUAGGAGGGUAGGCGGAGCUGCAUCCAAGUAAAUGUAUAACAUCAUUAUGCUGGCAUCCUGAUGGCAAAGUAGUUGUCUUGGGACUAGAAGAUGGACACUUUUGGCACGCUUUGGCAUUUGAAGAUUGCACUACUUGUUUCUUCCCUUCAGCUCCAAGAGCUCCUUGCAUGCCCAUACCUGGAGAAACUGGUUUAACUGACGAUGGUCAAGAUUCAUUUGUAGUGCUCUCAAAUUCUUCAAAGCAAUGUUUCAGUAUCCUUUGCAGUGGAGAUGAAAAUGGGGUUUUGUGCUUUAGUAUAGUUGGUGUCUUUCCAAUUGGAAAUGUUGUAAGCCUCCUGUCUGUUUCAGAUCAUAUAUUUAGCAGUAUAGUCUAUCAGAUUCAGUCAAUUACUACUUCUUUCCUUUCUCGCUUCCA